rnacentral:antisense_RNA from 1 species
UUCAAUGGUGGUUCAGGCAGGGAAGGCUUCGGCCUUGCCGGUCAUAGUUACCCGGUCCGCGAACCCUGUCUGAAUCGCCACCAUC